rnacentral:pre_miRNA from 1 species
UGACUACUCCUUCCGUCCCAAAAUUCUUGUCUUAGAUUUGUCUAAAUACGGAUGUAUCAAGUCACAUUUUAGUAUUAGAUACAUCCGUAUCUAGACAAAUCUAAGACAAGAAUUUUGGGGCGGAGGGAGUAUUUA